rnacentral:lncRNA from 1 species
AGUGCGCUGCCAGGGUCCUGCGGGUUGGGGCGAGGGCCGAGAGGUGGGAGUUGGAGGUGAACGUGGGGGCAGCAUGCUGGCUGCCCGGCCCCUGCCUGGGUUCUGAGUUGCUGCGGUGUCGCGGGAGCUGAGGCCGCCCAGGGCGUGGAGCGACUUCUGCGUCUCGUCCCAGGGUCCUGUGCUCCCCGCAGAAUCCCCCAGGCGCGGUGUGGACGUCAAAGCGACCUCCUAGAGAACAUUCCUAGCUCUCAGAACGUUCUCGCUGGGGAGGGAAAGUGGAAAAAGAGGGGGCGAGGAGCGGAGGGACGGGGUGGGACCCCUGUCGCGGGGCGCCUGUCAGGGAGAGGGACCUGGCAAGGCCGGCCUGGGUCGCCUCCGGAGCUGAAGGCUAAGUGGUCUCAUCCAGGGGACCUGCUGUGAACACAUUGAAUAGCAUAGAAAACAAAAGCACACGCUCCAAGUCCAUCUCUUUUUUUUUUUUUUUUUUUUUUUUUUUUUUUUUUUUUUUUUGAGGCAGAGUCCCGCUCUGUCGCCCAGGCUGGAGUGCGGUGGCGCCAUCGCGCUCACUGCAAGCUCCGCCUCCCUGGUUCACGCCAUUCUCCUGCCUCAGCCUCCCGAGUAGCUGGGACUACAGGCGCCCGCCGCCACACCCGGCUAAUUUUUUGUAUUUUUAGUAGAGACGGGGUUUCACCAUGUUAGCCAGGAUGGUCUCGAUCUCCUGACCUCGUGAUCCACCCGCCUCGGCCUCCCAAAGUGCUAGGAUUACAGGCGUGAGCCACCGCGCCGGCAAGUCCAUCUCUUAAAAUGUGCUCCCGUCAGGACCUGGGCUCUGGGCUCCACGAAGGAGCCUUGCAUGUGAGGUUUCCUUCCAAGUAUGCCUGCUGUUGGGAAGGGUUUUUAUAAUCUUUUGUGUUCCCCAGGCUUUUUGUUCUUAACCCCUUAAAUAUUCUUUAACUUUGUUUUCAACUUUUCAGAAAUGAUCAUGCGAUUGUAAAACAGUGGGAAUGCAGCUGUGUAAACUACGGCCGGUUCUAUGGAUGUUUCUAUAAUUGAAGAAUUGCUUUUUGUCAAAAAUACGGAUUCCCGGUCCCCAACGCAGGAGGGUCUGGUUUUUAGAUCCUGGAGGGCACCUGAAAUCCAUUUAACAAGCUUUAGGGUUCAUGUCUGCUGUUUUUUGCCUUGUUUCCUUUGCAUUUUUUUUUUUUUUUUUUUUUUGUGCCUUCCAAUGGAUACAGUACAUUUUUUUAGAAUUCCAUCUUGAUUUACUGAUAAUGUCUUGGGAAAUAUCAUUAUGUAUAGUUUUCGUAGUGGUUCCUCUAGGUAUCACAGCACGCAGACGUAACUUCUCACAACCUGUUUGCGUGGAUGUUUUGUUGUACCUGAGCGAGUUAGAAAAACACCACCUUUGAGACGAAUUAAGAGUCCUUUAUUAGCUGGCGACCGAGAGACGGCUAACGCUCAAAAUUCUCUCAGCCCCGAGGAAGGGGCUUGAUUAACUUUUAUACCUUGGUUUAGGAAGGGGGGGGGGUCUAGUUAAAACAAUUUUACAGAAGUAAAGUAGUCAAAAAGUUAAAAGGGUAAAUGGUUACAGGAAAGUAAACAGUUCAAGGUGCAGGGGCUUUAAGACUAUUACAAGAUGAUAGACCCGGGGCUUUGGGCGUUAUCAAUCGGACAAAUUCCUGGGAACUGCGGAUGUAGCUUGCCACAGUAUCUUACCAGUUAAUUGCAUUCUUGGAUGUGGUGGGAGUCAGCCUGCACAAGUUAAGUCCUUGAGAAAGGGGCUGCCAGUGAAAGAGCCAAGAUGGAGUCUGUCUGGCUCUCUUAGCUAAGGGAGAGUCAAUUCAGGUGGAAACAGGGCUAGGUGAUUAAAGGAAAAGGGAGAGUCUGAAAACAGUUAGUAAAAACCAGGUUGGGCAUUACAGUUUUACUGGUUCAAGGGAAGUAUUACUAUAUACUUCCCCGUCCCUCCGCUUCUCGCCCCCCUUUUUCCGUUUUCCCUCCCCAGCUAGAACGUUCUGAGAGCUAGGAAUGUUCUCUAGGAGGUCGCUUUGACGUCCACACUAUAUUAGACAGCA